rnacentral:rRNA from 1 species
UACGUAGGGUGCAAGCGUUGUCCGGAAUUAUUGGGCGUAAAGAGCUCGUAGGUGGCGGGUCACGUCGGGUGUGAAAGCCCGGGGCUCAACCCCGGGUCUGCAUUCGAUACGGGUCUGCUAGGGUCCGGCAGGGGAGACUGGAAUUCCUGGUGUAGCGGUGAAAUGCGCAGAUAUCAGGAAGAACACCUAUGGCGAAGGCAGCUCUCUGGGACGGUACUGACGCUGAGACGCGAAAGCGUGGGGAGCGAACAGG